CCUACGGGCGGCAGCAGUGGGGAAUAUUGGACAAUGGGCGAAAGCCUGAUCCAGCCAUGCCGCGUGUGUGAAGAAGGCCUUCGGGUUGUAAAGCACUUUCAGUGGGGAAGAAAGCCUUGGGGCUAAUACCCUCGAGGAAGGACAUCACCCACAGAAGAAGCACCGGCUAACUCCGUGCCAGCAGCCGCGGUAAUACGGAGGGUGCGAGCGUUAAUCGGAAUUACUGGGCGUAAAGCGCGCGUAGGCGGUCUGAUAAGCCGGUUGUGAAAGCCCCGGGCUCAACCUGGGAACGGCAUCCGGAACUGUCAGGCUAGAGUGCAGGAGAGGAAGGUAGAAUUCCCGGGGUAGCGGUGAAAUGCGUAGAGAUCGGGAGGAAUACCAGUGGCGAAGGCGGCCUUCUGGACUGACACUGACGCUGAGGUGCGAAAGCGUGGGUAGCAAACAGGAUUAGAUACCCGGGUAGUC
rnacentral:rRNA from 1 species